rnacentral:rRNA from 2 species
AACGAACGCUGGCGGCAGGCUUAACACAUGCAAGUCGAACGCCCCGCAAGGGGAGUGGCAGACGGGUGAGUAACGCGUGGGAACGUGCCCUUCGCUUCGGAAUAGCCCCGGGAAACUGGGAGUAAUACCGGAUACGCCGUAUUGGGAAAGAUUUAUCGGCGAAGGAUCGGCCCGCGUUAGAUUAGCUAGUUGGCGGUGUAAUGGACCACCAAGGCUACGAUCUAUAGCUGGUCUGAGAGGAUGAUCAGCCACACUGGGACUGAGACACGGCCCAGACUCCUACGGGAGGCAGCAGUGGGGAAUCUUGGACAAUGGGCGCAAGCCUGAUCCAGCCAUGCCGCGUGAGUGAAGAAGGCCUUAGGGUUGUAAAACUCUUUCGCCGGAGAAGAUAAUGACGGUAUCCGGAGAAGAAGCCCCGGCUAACUUCGUGCCAGCAGCCGCGGUAAUACGAAGGGGGCUAGCGUUGUUCGGAAUUACUGGGCGUAAAGCGCACGUAGGCGGGUUUGUAAGUAGAGGGUGAAAUCCCAGGGCUCAACCCUGGAACUGCCUUCUAAACUGC